CCUACGGGAGGCAGCAGUGAGGAAUAUUGGUCAAUGGACGAGAGUCUGAACCAGCCAAGUAGCGUGAAGGAUGACUGCCCUAUGGGUUGUAACCUUCUUUUAUAAAGGAAUAAAACGAGCCACGUGUGCCUUUUUGCAUGUACUUUAUGAAUAAGGAUCGGCUAACUCCGUGCCAGCAGCCGCGGUAAUACGGAGGAUCCGAGCGUUAUCCGGAUUUAUUGGGUUUAAAGGGAGCGUAGAUGGGUUGUUAAGUCAGUUGUGAAAGUUUGCGGCUCAACCGUAAAAUUGCAAUUGAUACUGGCAGUCUUGAGUACAGUUGAGGUAAGCGGAAUUCGUGGUGUAGCGGUGAAAUGCUUAGAUAUCACGAAGAACCCCGGUUGCGAAGGCAGCUUACUAAACUGUGACUGACAUUGAUGCUCGAAAGUGUGGGUAUCAAACAGGAUUAGAUACCCGUGUAGUC
rnacentral:rRNA from 1 species